GAGGGGGAUAACAAUUGGAAACGAAUGCUAAUACCCCAUAUGCUUUUAGUGAAAUGGAUUUAUCCGCCUAAAGAGAAGCUCGCGGCUGGUUAGCUUGUUGGUAAGGUAAGAGCUUACCAACGCGACGAUCAGUAUCUGGUUUGAGAGGAGG
rnacentral:rRNA from 1 species